UACGUAGGGCGCAAGCGUUAUCCGGAAUUAUUGGGCGUAAAGGGCUCGUAGGCGGUUUGUCGCGUCUGCCGUGAAAGUCCGGGGCUCAACUCCGGAUCUGCGGUGGGUACGGGGCAGACUAGAGUGAUGUAGGGGAGACUGGAAUUCCUGGUGUAGCGGUGAAAUGCGCAGAUAUCAGGAGGAACACCGAUGGCGAAGGCAGGUCUCUGGGCCACUACUGACGCUGAGAAGCGAAAGCAUGGGGAGCGAACAGG
rnacentral:rRNA from 1 species